UGUGCCGAUCAGUGUUUGCUGCACUCCCCAGAAAAAAGGACACUUUCUCUCCAGGAAGAAAAAGGGCAGGUGCUCAAGCCUCUUUUGAUGUCUAUAUGUGCACGUGCCUGGCUUAAGUGGAGUGAAGGGUUUAGUCUUAUCUACUCAGGCGACUGUGAGACUCAUCUUCCAUGUAUCCGCACAUAUUGGGUAAAGCGGGGAUUUAAGGAUGGAGAUGAUGGAGAUUAUUUCACCAGUAGGACUCACACAGUAUUUAUCUGACAGAAGAGGAAAAACGUUACCGGCUGGUGGAAUUGAUGGAAUAUGCACAGAGGGCAAAUAUAUUUGUUUUAGACAUUGAUUUAAAGUAGCCAUUGAGAGGAAGGGGUCAAGAACUAUAGAAUUCAGCAGCAAACACUUACAAUAGCCAAAUGGAUGAAAGAUUUUCUCAGUGUGAAAGGGAUGAAGAAAGAAAAUAUUGAUAUACUGAGAAUGUGAAUGGACCACCAUUUGAAUAGUGUGUGAAUUUGUGGUGUACUUGUAAGCAUAACAGCAUGAUUGGUGGUAAUUAUGUGCUCUUUAGAAGAUAAAUGCUGCACUUAUAUUCCUCAGCAACAGUCUGUCCUUCUUUCAGUUACACACAGCACACAAAGACCAAAUAUAACAUUUACAUUCAUCUCAUAAAUUCUUUUAAA